UUCGUUUGCAAUCCUAUUAUGAACAAUAGCAAAGAGAUCAUCUUGAAAAAUUAAAACAUUAUUUAAAAAAAUAUGUGAAUGCAUGUAUUACAUCAAUCGUAAAGCAUCAAUUUCUGGAACACCAGUGGGGUCGAAGACAACUUUGGAAAACCCAUCAAUAUUAGUAACCUUCUUAAGUCGGCCUUAUUAUGAAAGAUGAAAAAUAUUAGCAAGACAUACAUAUAAUAUCAGCUCCAAAAGAUUUAUUAUAUACAAUAAAUACAAUAGAUUACCUUGUCCACAAUAAAUUUGCCAACACU
rnacentral:lncRNA from 1 species